UGAAGAGUUUGAUCAUGGCUCAGAUUGAACGCUGGCGGCAGGCCUAACACAUGCAAGUCGAACGGUAACAGGAAGCAGCUUGCUGCUUUGCUGACGAGUGGCGGACGGGUGAGUAAUGUCUGGGAAACUGCCUGAUGGAGGGGGAUAACUACUGGAAACGGUGGCUAAUACCGCAUAACGUCGCAAGACCAAAGAGGGGGACCUUCGGGCCUCUUGCCAUCAGAUGUGCCCAGAUGGGAUUAGCUUGUUGGUGAGGUAACGGCUCACCAAGGCGACGAUCCCUAGCUGGUCUGAGAGGAUGACCAGCCACACUGGAACUGAGACACGGUCCAGACUCCUACGGGAGGCAGCAGUGGGGAAUAUUGCACAAUGGGCGCAAGCCUGAUGCAGCCAUGCCGCGUGUAUGAAGAAGGCCUUCGGGUUGUAAAGUACUUUCAGCGGGGAGGAAGGUGUUGUGGUUAAUAACCGCAGCAAUUGACGUUACCCGCAGAAGAAGCACCGGCUAACUCCGUGCCAGCAGCCGCGGUAAUACGGAGGGUGCAAGCGUUAAUCGGAAUUACUGGGCGUAAAGCGCACGCAGGCGGUCUGUCAAGUCGGAUGUGAAAUCCCCGGGCUCAACCUGGGAACUGCAUUCGAAACUGGCAGGCUUGAGUC
rnacentral:rRNA from 1 species